CGCUCCGGCGAUCUUUAUUUAAUCAGACUAAGUAACUGAACAGCUGCUACUGAGCUCGCGCACAAAUUGGAUGUUCCGCGUGUGGUGCGGUUCUGUGAUAUAAUGAACAACUUUAUUAAUGUAAAGGAGAAAAAACGACUCUUUAUAUUUCUCUGGAGAUCAGGGUGAAAAGCUAACAAGGCUCUCAAAGGAACAAGGCUACAAAGAUCCAGACAAUCCAGACACACAGCACCCAAGUUAAUGAGCCCAAACACGCACCCAAACUCUCCACUGGAGAUAAAAUCAAUAUUUUCCCUCCAUCGCUGUGGUCUCUGAGGUGGAAACCCGUGGUGAGCUGAAAAUGGCGGCUGUGAGCAUCAACAGGAGAAAAUCAUGGAGGGAAUGUCCUGCAAAGAUUCUCUACAUGGUUCUCUGACCUGGAUCCACAGUUAUAUAUUAUACUGUAUAUCUAUCUAUCUAUCUAUCUAUCUAUCUAUCUAUCUAUCUAUCUAUCUAUCUGUCUGUCUGUCUGUCUGUCUAUCUGUCUGUCUGUCUGUCUGUCUAGGAAGAAACUGUCAGAAGCAUCACGUCAUUCCUUUACACACCUGUUUUUUCUUAUUCACACCAUGUCACGUGUUUAUUUGAGGUCACGUGUAAUUAUAGGGUUUAACAUCACGCACAUUACUCACUUUACUCAUCAAUCCCUAUAAUUAUUAGGAAUGAUUAUAUAAUAAACAGAGCUUGUUGUUGUUUGUUUUAGAACAUUUGACAGAAAGCUUCAUAUAAUGUCUGGCUGAGUGUGUGAGGAAUUUUGUCAGGAGGAGUUUGUGAGGAAUUUUAUCAGGAGGAGUGUAUAAGGAAUAUGAGGAGGAAUGUGUAAGGAAUAAUAUCAGUAGGUGUGUGUAAGGAAUUUAUCCGGAGAGUGUAAGGAAUGUCAGGAGGCAUGUGAAAGGAAUAUUAUCAGGUGUGUGUAAGGAAUAUUAUCAGGAGUGUGUAAGGAAUUUUAUCAGGAGUGUGUAAGGAAUAUUAUAUCAGAAGGCAUGUGUAAGGAAUAUUAAGAGGUGUGUGUAAGGAAUUUUAUCAGGAGGAGUGUGUAAGGAAUUUUAUCCAGAGUGUGUAAGGAAUUUAAUCAGGAGGCAUGUGUAAGGAAUAUUAAGAGGUGUGUAAGGAAUUUUAUCAGGAGGAGUGUGUAAGGAAUAUCAGGAGGAGUGUGUAAGGAAUAUCAGGAGGAGUGUGUAAGGAAUAUCAUGAGGAGUGUGUAAGGAAUAUUAUAUCAGAAGGCAUGUGUAAGGAAUUUUAUCAGGAUUGUUUAAGGAAUAUUAAGAGGUGUGUGUAAGAAAUUUUAUCAGGAGGAGUGUGUAAGGAAUUUAAUCAGGAGGCAUGUGUAAGGAAUAUUAAGAGGUGUGUAAGGAAUAUCAGGAGGAGUGUGUAAGGAAUAUUAAGAGGUGUGUAAGGAAUAUCAGGAGGAGUGUGUAAGGAAUGUAAGGUUUUGUAGUGUUAUAGUCAUAUAGUCUUGUAUCAUAUCAUAUUGUCUCGUAUAGUCUUGUAACGUAUCAUAUUGUAUCGUAUAGUCUUGUGUCAUAUCGUAUUGUAUUGUUUCGUAUUGUAUUGUAUCGUAUCACCUCGUACAGUCUUGUAUCAUAUCGUAUCGUAUUGUCUUGUAUCAUAUCGUAUUGUAUCGUAUAGGCUUGUAUCGUAUCGUAUCACCUCAUAUAGUCUUGUGUCAUAUUGUAUAGUCUUGUAUCGUAUCAUAUUGUAUCGUAUCGUAUUGUAUCGUAUUGUAUCGUAUCGUAUCACCUCGUAUAGUCUUGUAUCGUAUCGUAUUGUAUCGUAUCGUAUCACCUCGUAUAGUCUUGUAUCGUAUCGUAUUGUAUCGUAUCGUAUCACCUCGUAUAGUCUUGUAUCGUAUC